rnacentral:lncRNA from 1 species
CUCUCAGCUCUGAAGGAAAUGCCAAGUCAACAGCAACAGCCACAGCAACAGGUUGCAGUAAGCCCAGGCCCCGCUGUCCCGCCUGCUUGUGCCCGUGCUGCUGGCGCUGGGCUGGAUCCUGGGCUGUGCCCUCAUGGUGUACAUUGUCUUCUCCUGACCUUGGAGGGAUGGCAGUGCCACACAGAGCCCUGUGGUGAGAAGAACCUACAAUGAAGUUGAUCAAAAGAACUCAGAAGUUCAGUUUAGAUUUCUAAUUACUAAAAUACGUAUAAAAUGAGUUAUUUUUAAUAUCAGCCAUGUUAAUGCUGUGCACACUUUUUAUCCGUUAGGAAGCAUCACCAAACCUAUUUCCCUGUUCUCAGAUUAUUUGCAAUUUAGGGAGUGGUUUUUGGAAUCUCGUGGUAGGUCAGAUCCUGCCUGCUUGCUGAACAGCAAACUUUUAAAACAGCUACCCACCAGCUAAGGAGCUUCAAGCUUGGUAGAAA